GAUGAACGCUGGCGGCGUGCCUAAUACAUGCAAGUCGAGCGAAUGGAUUAAGAGCUUGCUCUUAUGAAGUUAGCGGCGGACGGGUGAGUAACACGUGGGUAACCUGCCCAUAAGACUGGGAUAACUCCGGGAAACCGGGGCUAAUACCGGAUCACAUUUUGAACCGCAUGGUUCGAAAUUGAAAGGCGGCUUCGGCUGUCACUUAUGGAUGGAACCGCGUCGCAUUAGCUAGUUGGUGAGGUAACGGCUCACCAAGGCAACGAUGCGUAGCCGACCUGAGAGGGUGAUCGGCCACACUGGGACUGAGACACGGCCCAGACUCCUACGGGAGGCAGCAGUAGGGAAUCUUCCGCAAUGGACGAAAGUCUGACGGAGCAACGCCGCGUGAGUGAUGAAGGCUUUCGGGUCGUAAAACUCUGUUGUUAGGGAAGAACAAGUGCUAGUUGAAUAAGCUGACACCUUGACGGUACCUAACCAGAAAGCCACGGCUAACUACGUGCCAGCAGCCGCGGUAA
rnacentral:rRNA from 1 species